GACGAACGCUGGCGGCGUGCUUAACACAUGCAAGUCGAACGGAAAGGCCCUGCUCUUGUGGGGUGCUCGUGUGGCGAGCGGGUGAGUAACACGCGAGUAACCUGCCCUUGUCUUUGGGAUAACUUCAGGAAACUGGGGCUAAUACCCGAUAGGAGCUCCUGCUGCAUGGUGGGGGUUGGAAAGUUUCGGCGGUUGGGGAUGGACUCGCGGCUUAUCCGCUUGUUGGUGGGGUAGUGGUUUACCAAGGCUUUGACGGGUAGGCGGCCUGGGAGGUUGGACGGCCACAUGGGGACUGAGAGACGGCCCAGACGCCUACGUGAGGCAGCAGUGGGGAAUAUUGCACAAUGGGCGGAAGCCUGAGGCGGCAACGCCGCGUGCGGGAUGACGGCCUUCGGGUGGUAAACCGCUGUCGCCUGUGACGAAGCGUGAGUGACGGUAAUGGGUAAAGAAGCACCGGCUAACUACGUG
rnacentral:rRNA from 1 species